rnacentral:lncRNA from 1 species
AUGUGAGUUGUUUGUAAAUAAGUGUGUUUAUGGUGUGAUUAGUCAUGUAUUAGCAUAUAUUAGCACUUAUGGUUUGUAUUUAAGUUUGCUCAAAUAGAUUAAAUAGUUUAAUCUCAUGUAUUCUGCUAUAAAAGUUUUGAAAAAUAUGCUUGAAAUGUCUAUCGAUUUUCUUUAGCAGGUUUAUGGCGAGGUCUGACAGAGAGCACUGA